UACAGAGGGUGCAAGCGUUGUCCGGAAUCAUUGGGCGUAAAGCGCGCGUAGGUGGCCUCAUAAGUCCGCUGUGAAAGUCAAAGGCUCAACCUUUGAAAGCCGGUGGAUACUGUGAGGCUAGAGUACGGAAGAGGCGAGUGGAAUUCCUGGUGUAGCGGUGGAAUGCGCAGAUAUCAGGAGGAACACCAAUAGCGAAGGCAGCUCGCUGGGACGUUACUGACACUGAGGCGCGAAAGCGUGGGGAGCGAACAGG
rnacentral:rRNA from 1 species